UACGAAGGGGGCUAGCGUUGUUCGGAAUUACUGGGCGUAAAGCGCGCGUAGGCGGUGAUCUUUGUCAGAGGUGAAAUCCCCGAGGCUCAACUUCGGAAUUGCCUUUGAAACGGGAUCGCUUGAGUCCGAGAGAGGAUGGCGGAAUUCCUAGUGUAGAGGUGAAAUUCGUAGAUAUUAGGAAGAACACCGGUGGCGAAGGCGGCCAUCUGGCUCGGUACUGACGCUCAGGCGCGAAAGCGUGGGGAGCAAACAGG
rnacentral:rRNA from 1 species